ACUCCUACGGGAGGCAGCAGUAGGGAAUCUUCCACAAUGGGCGCAAGCCUGAUGGAGCAACACCGCGUGAGUGAAGAAGGGUUUCGGCUCGUAAAGCUCUGUUGUUAAAGAAGAACAUAUCUGAGAGUAACUGUUCAGGUAUUGACGGUAUUUAACCAGAAAGCCACGGCUAACUACGUGCCAGCAGCCGCGGUAAUACGUAGGUGGCAAGCGUUGUCCGGAUUUAUUGGGCGUAAAGCGAGCGCAGGCGGUUUUUAAGUCUGAUGUGAAAGCCUUCGGCUCAACCGAAGAAGUGCAUCGGAAACUGGGAAACUUGAGUGCAGAAGAGGACAGUGGAACUUCACGUGUAG
rnacentral:rRNA from 1 species